GCAGUUUAUGUAGGUGACUAUCAGUAUCGAACAGUAUCGAACUACUCGUAUCACCACGUACACGUAUCGAGCGUUCACGUUGUACAUUGUCAAAUUUGUGACUGUUAGACCGCAUUGUUCGAAUUAUAGAGAAAUAUAGAGCAAUAUAGAGUAUAUAAUCAAGCAUUUAUUAAAAAAAGACGCGAUUGACAUGGAGACUACUGAAGAAACUAUUACAAGGCAAAGAAAGAAAGAGUUGCAAAACGAUAUGGAAGAUAAAUUAUCAGAUAAUAUCGAGGAAAACGAAAAGAAAGAGGAAUCGAAGAAGGAAGUGAAGGCUGGCUUCAAAUACUAUUACAACAAAUUUAGAUAUUAUCAUUAUUACAUUGCCAAGAAAAUCGAUAACGGCAUCGGAGUGUUGUGCAUGUGGAUCUUUAAACUUCUGUUAUAUUUAAUGGGAUACAGAUACAACGAACUACCUUUUAUCCCAGAUGAUGAAUGUAUUCGGCCGUAUUGCCACUGCAGGAACUCAAAUAUUCACGAGCCGAUUGUAAAAGAUGCAGUCCAAUCUCCGCGAGGUACUAUACGUAAUGGAAGCCUCUUUGAAAAAUUCCUCAGCACGCUGUUAUCCGAUAGAAGUUGCUUCGCUCGGUCACUCAUCCGAACAUUUUAAAUGUUACUUACGAACCUCCCGCGUAGCGCACCAUUACUUCUUUUUUUUCCCUAAUCCUGCUUGCAGCCGGGAAAGAACGUGAAUACAUGAACAGGCGAACUUUUCUUCCGUCUGAGCGCAAGUGAUUUUUUUUAACUCACUUUCCGCUCUUUACCUAACUACACUCAAGGUCGGUAGAUGGAGGAACUGGCGAAGUAAGGUCCUCGCAUCCACUUCACACGAUUUGACCCGAAAAUGGCGGCGAAAUGUUUUGGCAAAACAACCUGGCAUUUUUGUUUCACAACACUCUGUUCACUUUGUUGUCGACUUUGCCUGCUGACUGACAUACACAUCAAUACACAUGUAUAUAUCAUGAUACUACGUGUACAUACAUACAUACACACAUACGCGCUGUCCCGAAAAUGGCGGUCAUGCGAGGACCUUACUUCGCCAGUUCCUCCAUCUACCGACCUUGACUACACUAACAUCAUAGAACUGUUGCGUUACGCUCUUUUACACGGGCUUUGAAUCAAAGUCGUAAAAUAUUAAUUUGUCACUUAAAUCAUAUUGCGAAUAGAAAACUGAUGAUAGAAGAAUCGCACCAGCAUUGCAUCUUUUAUAAUCUAAGAUUAAUAAUAAUCGCGACCGCGAUACUUCACAUAGAAAAGAUAUGUCAAAUCCGCAUAGAAUCAAAAAAGCCAGUGUACAACAAAACGAAUUCCUUUCUUGGAGACUGAGUCCACAAAAUCGUAUCUAUCGUAGACAUCUGUAUUUUAUGCCAAGCGUUAUGGCCUCGCGGUUGAUACUUGCAUUAUAUCGUACAUAAAAAUAUCUUUCUUCCAUAUAGUAAAUGCAACAAUGGUAAGCGACCUAUUUCCCCGUCGAGAAACGUUCGUGGAGACAAAAUAUGAAAGCGUAUAUUUUUCUCGUAUAAUUUGCGCGUUUAAAAUGUUACAUUAUCGAGCAUGAUGCUCUCUGCUUGUGUGAAGUAAAAGAAUUGUGUGGCAACACGAUAAUGUCAAUUAAUAAUAAAUUGUGUAUGUAUUCCACAUGUAACUUGCUACAAAGAUAUGAUAUGACAAGAAAAUAAUUAAACGACAUCAAACAACAUCGAUUGUAUAUUUAUGACGGUGACGUGUAAAUUGGAUUAUUGUGUAUGUUUACAUGUAUUAACCCUCAUGUGCACAAGAAUAGGUAAAUUAUGAGUGACAAAAUAAUGGGACGGUUAAUUAAUAUCUCGGACGCUGUGCACGCUUUUAUAUAUUUAGUCCAGGUUAUUCAAUGUGAGUUAAUUGGAACAGUUAAUUAUAUAUCAUAAGUGAUUUUUUACUCGCGUAUGAAACGGUAAAUUCAGUUAAAUAAAUAUAAAAAUAAUUUCACGUAAUGUCCGCAUAAUGUAAAAACCAAACGGAAUAUUAAAAUAGCGAAAC
rnacentral:misc_RNA from 1 species